rnacentral:lncRNA from 1 species
AAUUAAUUUUACAUCUGUACAGAUGGCAACAGUGGUAGACUGUGUAUCCCCCUUACAGUUCAUGCCCUCUCCAACAGGUUAAAAUCACUCACUUUUUUUUUUUUUUUUUUUUUUGGUGAAAAUAUGGGAAUCUCUUUCCUUAAUUUGUCCCUUGUUUACAAUGACACCACACGGGAGCUGUAGUUUAUGGAGAUAAUUCUAUGGAAGGGACACUGCCUCUUUGUAUUUAUUUUGUUGACUGUCUUUAAGCUCCUUGGACUCUGUCUGUGGACUCUGAAACUCUUUCUUUUUCUACAGUGGAUAGUUUUGGCACAGAUGCACCAUUUUCAAGUGUCCCCCACACCACAUCAUGGCAGAAUUUUGGUCUCCUGACUAUACCAUCCAGCUGCUUUCUAUAGAAAAGAAGUUGGAUUCUCUCAAGGAAGAUUCUAUCACCUGCAGCGGAGCACAGCACCUGAGAGAAAGGAGUAGGCCUUGCCAGAAACUUCUCAGAACACAGGAAUGAAGACUCUGAUAUCCUGCUGUGUCAUCCAGCUGACUACACAGGACCAAUGGGCUACAGACAGCACAUCUACCAUGUUGGCAGCAAAAGGAGAGCAGAGGAAUGCAGUUGGAAGAGUGACAUUUCUGGACAGGGUAAAAAAUGGUGGAUGGAAUUGGAGACGCUCAUUCAGCUGAUGUGGGAAACAGAGGGUAAGUACUGUCGUGUAUAUUACAAUGUUGAACAGGGUGUAAAUAAAUGUAUUGGAUGUCACUUUAGCGAGGGUGGGAAUAGUAGCAAAUUUAGAAGGCAGGACCGUUAGGACCCUAACUACCUGACCUUUUCAACCUUUCUAGUUUCCCCUUGCAGCAUUUUCCCUCUUGUGCAAUCUGGUUCACUUACUUUGUCCCUCUUUUGGUUUGCUGAAUGCAACUGUCUGCCUCCCUCUUCAGAACCUGCACAUGUGGUGUUUGGUGUUCCUUACUCUGACCAGUCUUUCCUCCCCUCCUUUCCUCUGGGCACCCUCCAUUACUGUCCCCCCCCUUCCAUUUAAUUCCCCUUUCAUGCUAUAGUAUUUUUUAAAAAAUUUAUUUGUUUUGAGAGAGAGAGAGAGAGAGAAAGAGAGGGAGGGACAGUGAGAGAGGGAGAGAAAGAACCCCAAGGAGGCUCCGUGCUGUCAGCACAGAGCCUGACUUGGGGCUUGAUCCCACAAACCGUGAGAUCAUGACCUGAGCUGAAAUCAAGAGUCAGAUGCUUAACCAACUGAGCCACCCAUGCACCCCACAUGGGUGUCUGCGUGUGUUUGCGUGUGGGUGAGCCCCUGGAGGAUAUCAGGUUUCCCAACUAAACAUUAACUUUAUUUCCCUUCUCUAAUAUUUAUCUCCAUUUAUAAUAAUGUAUUUGUGCUGUUAUUUGGUUAUUCUAUGUCUUGUCUAUUGCACUUUCUAUGAUUUC